AACGUAGGAGGCAAGCGUUAUCCGGAGUUACUGGGCGUAAAGCGCGCGCAGGUGGUUGGAUAAGUGGGGCGUGAAAUCUCCAGGCUAAACCUGGAGGGGACGAACCAGACUAUUCGACUAGAGUGAAGUAGAGGGACGCGGAAUUCGGGGUGUAGCGGUGAAAUGUGCAGAGAUCCCGAGGAACACCAGAGGUGAAGACGGCGUCCUGGGCUUUAACUGACACUGAGGCGCGAAAGCGUGGGGAGCGAACGGG
rnacentral:rRNA from 1 species